rnacentral:tRNA from 1 species
AGCCUUGUAUUCAUUGGGUGAUUAUAGAAUGCAAUUCUAUAGGGGUGGGAUGAAUGGUUCCACCAAGGCCU